GGAGCCUGCGGCUUAAUUUGACUCAACACGGGAAAACUUACCUGGCCCGGACACUGGAAGGAUUGACAGAUUAAGAGCUCUUUCUUGAUUCAGUGGGUGGUGGUGCAUGGCCGUUCUUAGUUGGUGGAGCGAUUUGUCUGGUUAAUUCCGAUAACGAACGAGACUCUAGCCUACUAAAUAGGGGACCGAUCAAUUGUUGUCGGUCCGUCUUCUUAGAGGGACAAGCGGCUUUUAGCCGCACGAGACAGAGCAAUAACAGGUCUGUGAUGCCCUUAGAUGUCCGGGGCCGCACGCGCGCUACACUGAAGGAAGCAGCGUGCUCAUCGCUGUCCGGCAGGACUGCGUAACCCCUAUAACCUCCUUCGUGAUAGGGAUAGGGGCUUGUAAUUGUUCCCCUUGAACGAGGAAUUCCCAGUAAGCGCGAGUCAUAAGCUCGUGUUGAUUACGUCCCUGCCCUUUGUACACACCGCCCGUCGCUACUACCGAUUGAAUGAUUUAGUGAGGUCUUCGGACUGGCGCUCGGAGCGACCUUCGGGUUGCGCCGGCGUGCCGGAAAGAUGACCAAACUUGAUCAUUUAGAGGAAGUAAAAGUCGUAACAAGGUUUCC
rnacentral:rRNA from 1 species